rnacentral:rRNA from 1 species
AUACGGAGGAUCCGAGCGUUAUCCGGAUUUAUUGGGUUUAAAGGGUGCGCAGGCGGCCAUUUAAGUCAGCGGUUAAAUCGUGGGGCUCAACCCCAUUCUGCCGUUGAUACUGGGUGGCUUGAUUGCGGUCGAGGUUGGCGGAAUUCGUUGUGUAGCGGUGAAAUGCAUAGAUAUGACGAAGAACACCGAUUGCGUAGGCAGCUGACCAGACCGCAAAUGACGCUCAUGCACGAAAGUGCGGGGAUCGAACAGGAUUAGAUACCCUGGUAGUCCGCACAGUAAACGAUGAAUACUUGUUUUCGGCGAUAUAAUGUCGGAGGCAAAGCGAAAGCGAUAAGUAUUCCACCUGGGGAGUAC